rnacentral:miRNA from 1 species
CACGUGUUCUUCUCCUCCAUC